rnacentral:misc_RNA from 1 species
AAGUCGUAACAAGGUUUCCGUAGGUGAACCUGCGGAAGGAUCAUUAACACUUUUCUUUAAUAACUAUUAUCAUACCAAUGCGCAUCGGAGAGCCGUCCUAGCCUGCUGUUGAAGUUAGCCCGCUGAACCACUCGAUGGAACGGCGACCGGUCUAACGCCCCGACUUAGGGAGGUAUACAGUCUCGACCAUGGCUGGACCCACUCUUUUUUUUCUCUUUACCUUUGAUUUUUGUACUGAUUUGGGCUAUGGAUGGAGAGGAGUCAAAUCCUUUCUCUAUGGCUGUUGAUCGACGGUCUCGACUGUUCGACUCAAUCAAAAACCAAAACACAACUCUUAACAGCGGAUAUCUCGGUUCUC